rnacentral:rRNA from 1 species
AGGGAUGAAGGCCUUCGGGUUGUAAACCUCUGUUGGAUGGGAAAAAAAAGGUAGCAAUACUUUGAUGGUACCAUUUGAGGAAGCACCGGCUAACUACGUGC